rnacentral:misc_RNA from 1 species
UUUCCGUAGGUGAACCUGCGGAAGGAUCAUUAUUGUAUAACCGAGGUGCGAGGGCUUUCGCUGAUACGAAUGGUUGUGCAGGCCCGAGUGCCCUCUCACACAACCACCUCACCCCGAUGUACACCACCGCUUGAGUCUCUCUUUGGCUUGUUCUGCGGGGGGCAUACGUUUUCACACAAAACUUGUAUGCAGCGUAGCUCGUAUUUUUUGUUUUGGCGAAGACCGAAGCAAAACAACUUUCAACAACUGAUAUCUCGGUUCCCGCAUCGGCGAAGAGUC